AGUAGAAAGAGUCAUGCUGCCCGUUCAACAUCAAUUCGGAUUAAUGAAGUUUGGAGUUCUGAAGAAUUAUCCACCGAAUUUCGAUCCGGCUGUGAUGGCAGCUGCUAUAGCUUCGAAUCAUGGUUAAAUUUAAAUACUUUAUACCAUUUCUUAAACUUAUUGCACUUACGCGAUAACGACGUAGGAAUUUUAAUUUUUUUAUGUAAUAUUUCAAAACAAACAUUAUCCCAUUAAAGAGGUAAUGCUUAUACUCAUAUUAAUAAUGCUGUAAAUAUAUUUUAACGUAAAAUAGAUAAAGAAACUUUCGAAUUAGACGCCCGAUAUAUUAAACUUCCAUACGAUAAAGUUUUUAUUUUUUUUUUGAUUAUUUUCGAUUGAGUCUAAUGUGUUCUCCUUAUCAUUUUUGUCUCUUUUAUUUUUUACAUUCUUGAGCGUAUUGUAAAAUUAACAGGUUUUAAAAUAAAUAAUUUCCUCUUUACAACUAUACAAGAAAAAGAAAAAGAAAGAAACGAAAUAAGGGAAGAUAUUAAGGCACUAUAAAAGCAAAAAUUCUUUUCUAUAGGCUUACGCUUUUGUUGCCUAUUCUUAUCUUUAUCUUCUUUCAAAUCUUCAGUAGUUUCAUAAAAUUGUAAAAAAUAGAAAAGGCCAGAAGGAAACUAGAUUAAUGCCCAGAUAAUACCCGAGAUGGUAAACACAAGUCGACAAUAGCAUUUUUGAGUAGGCUAAAAACUUUUCUGUACGCUGUACUAUCAGGACACCUGGUCGGUUUUCGCAUAUAAUCUCGAUUAUCUCGUGAGACCGUCAAGAUGCUGACAGACUUUAUUAAAGCAUCGUUAAUCUUUUUUAAUACAGCGAACAAGAGUAUGCCUAUUCACUGUAUUGUUGAGAAGACGCCCUCGACUGUCGAAGUUGACAGUUACGCAAUUUUAUCAAAUUCGACGCCGUUCAACGAAAUAGUCGGAACAGCCCUUCAGAAACUUGGAUUCUCAACAUCCCAAAGUGUUGGAGCAAAAGGUUGGUAUAAGUAAUAAGGAAUUUUAAUAUUGAAAACGAGAUUUGUAUAGAAGAAUAUUGUGCCUAUUCAAAACGCAUCUAAAGAAUGAGAUUAGUCAGACCGACGCCAAGCUGGUCAGUGAAAUUGCCUGACAAAAAUUUCGCUCGUUCAUCUUUAUAGGCCUAUAAUGGCGAUUAAUUACUAUAAAUAAAAACGACGCCCUAUUAUUAAAGAGAAAGCGAUAGAGAAAAGAGUGACUAAAAGAGGGGCGGGAAAGAUUUAUAGACGAAUAGAUCAUGAAAUCGAAUGUUUACUCGAAAAUUCAACUAUUAAUCCCUUUUUGUUUAUUUUACUGGCGUAUUGAAAGUGAAUUUUUUUUAUAAUCCUACGAAGAAGAACGAUAAGUAGGUGCGAAUGGUAAUUAAACAAAAUAGGGUAUAUUUUUCUCGGCAAAUUUCUUUAACAAUCGUUAAUAAGAAGUAAAUAACAUUUAAAGUGUUACGAAUUAGUGUAAUUUUUUUCUCCUUUCCCCUCUUGAUGAACAAACUGUUUGUCUCACAAAUUCAACACUAUGAAAACUCAAUUGCAAUUGAUCACGUGAUUCAAAAAAAAAGUUUGAUCGAUAUUGAAAAGAAUUUUUGUUCGGAGCAUAUUGCCUCUAUUCAAAGCGCAUCCUAAAUGGGAUUAGACUGACUGACGCCAAAUUUAGUCAGUGAAAUCGCCCCUACGUGGAAAUUAAUUGGUUUUCUUAAAACUUUUACUGAGCCUAAUUACAAGGCACCGCGACGACUAUAGUCGCUAAACACAUUUUUUUCGCGCCACUUUCUAAAAACAGUCCUCACGUUUAAUUAUAGAGAACGUUGCCGCACCUACCUUUUUUGUUUAUGCCGACAGGUACCAUACAAAUAAAAAAUUGGAAAGCACUGACGUUCGAUACGAUUACCGAUAAUCCGGAUGCUACUGUUGAAGAUUUACUGGCUGAUUUGACAUCAGUUGUAACAUUGAGAAUUCGCCUUUGCAGCUCGUCUAGAGUAAGCGCGAUAGACGAAAUCAAAGAGAAGCUGCUCAAGUUUCUGCUUACGCGUUCUAUAGUUACGCUCCAAAACGCCGGCUGUCCGAUCGAUCAGAAUUUAUUGAAUCGCUUCGCUAACGGAGACUUCACCGUGUCGGAAGCCACAGCUAAAACAUUCGAUCAAUGGUAUAAAAAGCAAUCGGAAGAAAAAGUUUUACUAAAUGGAGGUGGAAUUGGAAUUUCACCAGGCAAUGGAAUGGGAGGGGUAGGGGUUGGUUUAGGUGGUCUAGGAGGUACCUCCUCAGACGAAGCCGCUAAGAGAGCCAGAACGAGCUUUGACCCAGAACACGAGAUUCCAAGACUUCAGACUUGGUUUAAAGAAUGCCAGCAUCCCAGUAAGGAGCAGAUGACCACUUUCUUAGAUGAACUUAAUUCACUCGAAUCGAGGAAGGGUAGAAAGCCGUUGGAUUUAACAAAUAUUGUUUACUGGUUUAAGAACACAAGAGCAGCCAUGAAGAGGUCUCAAAAUAAGUAUAUGACGGAUGAGAAUGAAAAUGAGGCCGUUCAGUCGGCUGACGCUGAGAGUGAAGGUUCCCGAGUACCAGAACUGCCAAAUUCAAAUGCCAUUUAUGUUUUCAAUCCUAACAAUGAGGAGGAGGAGGAAGAGGAUGAUUUCAAUGAAUCUGAGUCAGAUUUUGAAGAGGAGAAAGUUAAGAAAGAGCACCAUGAGGGAUCAUCAUCCAUCAAACAAGAACCGGAAAAUAUAAAGAAGCGACAUCUAUCGGAAGAUGAUGAUGAACCUCGCCAUGUUACUCCUCCGGCCUUUCCAACAUUUCCGCCUUUUACAAGUCAAUCACAGGCCCUGCACAAUGCAAUGCUCCACAAUCCAUUAGCAGCAGCUGCGUCAAUGCAGCUAUUUCAUCCAGCAGCAGCAGCGUUAUACACUCCAUCGAUACUAAACACUCCAAACGCUCACGCGCAACAAUACCCAUCUCCAACUUCGGCACCAGGUCCGAAUGAAACACCGACACCUCCUAGUGGAAGUAGUUUACCAAAUGAUGAGAGAAAGAAGAGGUCAAGAGUGUUCAUUGAUCCACUCUCAGAAAUUCCAAAAUUGGAAAAGUGGUUUGGCGAAGACACGCAUCCAAGUUCGUAUAUGAUCGAAAAGUAUACUGAAGAGUUGAAUAGAAGCGAAUACAGACAUAGAUUUCCCAGAUUGGAACCGAAAAAUGUUCAAUUAUGGUUUAAGAACCAUAGAGCCAAGGUCAAGAGAGCGAGGCUGGAAUUGCCCAGUCAGAAUUCGGAUUUAGUUCAGGACGUUUAAUUACGUACUUUUCACAUCUGCACAGUUUUUGCACACUUACAAAACUAGUCCUGCUCUGCGUUCAAUUCAGAGUGCAAAAAUUUUUUUUUUGUUUCUUUAUGUUUACUUACAUAUACAGUAUAUAUA
rnacentral:misc_RNA from 1 species